CUGUUUGUAGUUAACAUUGAUUCCGUUUUCAGCUUGCUAGAGGGACAGAGGAGGUGCUCUCAUGGAUGGGAUCCAUACCGUGACCAUGCAGUCCAUAGCGCACCUUAACAAUCCCACAUCUGUUCACUAUAUCCCUAUUUUUCAUUUUUGUAAGAACGAUUUGUUGUGCACUCACUAUUAGAGAAGAGAUAAUCAUUGUUCCUUUAAAAGAAGUUCAUUUGGUUGUUCGAAAAAAUGUAGAGAGGAAGUGAUAGUAAAAUAUGGAUGUGGAUGAAUGCUUGUGUGUAAUGCAUAGCGUGCAAACAAAAAAUGCAGUGCACCAAAAGAGAAAUUGCAGUUUCACUUUGUUCUUAAAUGUGUGGG
rnacentral:lncRNA from 1 species